AGAAAAGAAAGUUUUGGAGAAGGCCAUCGGCCACUAAAAGUCAACUUCCUCAUAGUAUCUGCUGCAGAGUAACGCUACAAUCGGCUCUGAAAAUUAUCAAUAAUCAAUAAAUCAUAUAAGUCCUACGCCAACUAUUCGCCGGUUCGCCGUUGGUCACUCGCGUGGAUACCAGUCAGAUAUUUUUCGUCUCCGUUCAAGUCUCUUCGCUUCAAAGUUCAAGCUGCUCUUCGCUUCUCCGGCAGUUUGGUGUGCUCGCCGUAUUAACUCCUUACCUACCAACGAGUCCGAAUAAUAUCUUCGAAUACCUACAUACCGAUCAUCAGAUCAUGUCGAAUCAGGUGCAAGAUGGUAAAUCGGAAGUGAUGCCCAUGAGGCAACCCUCCAAACAGAUAUUGUAUUGGAAUCCUCAAAUACUAAAUAAAGAUGUCCCAAGACUGGAAAAUGUUGAUGUUGAUGUUUAUAAUGGCCAUGACCAAGGAAUUGCUACUACUUCUUCUGGCCAAAGUUUAGUGCUGUCCUCAG